rnacentral:rRNA from 1 species
UCGGGAAUUUUGGGCAAUGGGCGAAAGCCUGACCCAGCAACGCCGCGUGAGGGAUGAAGUAUUUCGGUAUGUAAACCUCGAAAGAAUGGGAAGAAUAAAUGACGGUACCAUUUAUAAGCUCUGGCUAACUACGUGCCAGCAGCCGCGGUAAUGCGUAGGGAGCAAGCGUUGUUCGGAUUUACUGGGCGUAAAGGGCGCGUAGGCGGCGCGGUAAGUCACUUGUGAAAUCUCUGAGCUUAACUCAGAACGGCCAAGUGAUACUGCUGUGCUAGAGUGCGGAAGAGGCAACCGGAAUUCUUGGUGUAGCGGUGAAAUGCGUAGAUAUCAAGAGGAACACCUGAGGCGAAGGCGGGUUGCUGGGCCGACACUGACGCUGAUGCGCGAAAGCCAGGGGAGCAAACG